rnacentral:rRNA from 1 species
UGGCGAACGGGCGAGUAAGAGCUUCCUAACGUACCCUGCAGUCAGGGAUAGCUCGGGGAAACCCGUGGUAAUACCUGAUGAUCCCACAGGAUCGCAUGACCCUGUGGGCAAAGGUCCGCCGUUGCAGGAUCGGGGAAGGCGCUAUCAGGUUGUUGGUAAGGUAACGGCUUACCAAGCCUAAGACGGCUAGCGGGCGUGAGAGCGCGACCCGCCGCAUCGGGACUGAGACACUGCCCGGACUCCUACGGGAGGCUGCAGCAACGAAUCUUCCGCAAUGCGCGAAAGCGUGACGGAGCAAUGCCGCGUGUAGGAUGAAGCCCCUCGGGGUGUAAACUACUGUCAGGGCUUAGGAAAUUUGACUAAACCCAAAGGAAGGGCCGGCUAACUUCGUGCCAGCAGCCGCGGUAAUACGAAGGGCCCGAGCGUUAAGCGGAUUCACUGGGCUUAAAGCGUGCGUAGGCUGGCCAGUAAGUGUCUUGUGAAAUCCCACUGCUCAACGGUGGAAUUGCCAGGGCAAACUGCUGGUCUUGAGGCCGGAAGGGGUCGUCGGAACUCUAGGUGUAGCGGUGAAAUGCGUAGAUAUCUAGAGGGACGCCCAAAGACGAAGGUAGACGAUUGGGCCGGUUCUGACGCUGAGGCACGAAAGCGUGGGGAGCAACCAGGAUUAGAUACCCUGGUAGUCCACGCCGUAAACGAUGUACACUAGGUCCGGGAGGUUCUGAACAACCUCCGGGCCGAAGGAAAACCAUUAAGUUGUCCGCCUGGGGAAGAACGGUCCGCAAGGGUAAAAAUUCCAAGGAAUUGACGGGGGCUCACACAACCGGUGGAGCAUGUGGCUUAAUUCGAGGCAACGCGAAGAACCUUAUCCUGGGUUUAGACAUGUUGGUGUUCACACAGGGACACAUGGUGUCCUUCGGGAGAACAACACAGGUGCUGCAUGCCUGUCGUCAGCUCGUCCCGUGAGGUGUUAGGUUAAGUCCUUCAACGAGCGAAACCCCUGCCACUAGUUGCCAGCGAGUCAAGUCGGGGACUCUAGUGGGACUGCCGAUGUCAAAUCGGAGGAAGGUGGGGAUGACGUCAAGUCCUCAUGGCCUUUAUGCCCAGGGCUGCACACAUGCUACAAUGGCGCGUACAGAG